UAGAGCACGACAAAACGAGUCUGUAGACACGUAGUGGACUCAAAUUGGACUUGUAACGAAGAAAUUACAAGCAAAAUACAUAAAAAGGGCAUAAUUGAAAUUUUGGAAAAAGUCAGAUUUUUUAAAAAAACCAGAUUUCUUCUCUCCUCACUCUCUCUCUCCCCGCAUCUCUUCCCUCUCCCCCCCUUUGGUUUUCCAGCCGACACCACCCCUCCUCCCAGCCACCACCAUCGACGCCGGCCAGCCCAGAUCGGACCGGCGACUCCCCAGCCUCCCAGCCCGACGUCCUCCCCCGCCGCCUGCCGCCAUGAAUCGCUGGAGAGAACCAGAAAAUCGCGUCAUUUUUGGCAGAAUUUUGUCUGCUCCGUUCGUCGUCAUCCGGCCACCAAAUCGGAUGAAUUAGGCACCCGGGCACCAGGUGACCCGCAGGAGGGACCUUCAAAGGGUCCAGCUAGCUCAGAGUAUCUGUAGUAGUCGUGCAUCAGUGCGCCACCACCGGGCCGAGUCCAUCUUCCGCUACAUCCCUUGGUUUUGAUUAGUUGUGUUUUAUUUGUAACCUACGCUGUAUAGAUGCUCUGAUAUUGCCCUAGAAUACAUGUCUAACUGUUAGUAUGUA